GCGUUGCCACAGGCGGUGGACCGGGUCCGAUGGGUAACAAUUUGAAGGACAGUCUAUUUCCUCCUUUCUUCGAGGCCGAGGAGGAUAGAGAAGAAGACCAGUUCUUCGUGCUUAAUGAACAGUUUGGUCAAUAUGGUGUCCAGCCACCAAGCAAAGAGAUUCAGGUGCUGGCGGAGAAAAUCAGGGCUCUUGAAAGCUAUGUUACUCCGGGGGUUAUU
rnacentral:lncRNA from 1 species